rnacentral:rRNA from 1 species
AUUGAACGCUGGCGGCAGGCCUAACACAUGCAAGUCGAGCGAGCGGCGGACGGGUGAGUAAUGUCUGGGAAACUGCCUGAUGGAGGGGGAUAACUACUGGAAACGGUAGCUAAUACCGCAUACAAUCAGAUGUGCCCAGAUGGGAUUAGCUAGUAGGUGGGGUAACGGGUCACCUAGUCGACGAUCCCUAGCUGGUCUGAGAGGAUGACCAGCAAAACUGGAACUGAGACAAGGUCCAUACGCCUACGGGAGGCAGCAGUGGGGAAUAUUGCAUAAAGGGCGGAAGCCGGAUGCAGCCAUGCCGCGUGUGUGAAGAAGGCCUUCGGGUGUGAAAGCACUUUCAGCGGGGAGGCGUUACCCGCAGAAGAAGCACCGGCUAACACCGUGCCAGCAGCCGCGGUAAUAC